AGUUGUCAUUCACCCUCCGAACUGACAACAGCUCCCGGUAGCGCUUUGAAUAACAACUUAUAGAGAGAAAGAUUUUGCCUUUAUCCUGCUUAAAUUAUGAAAAUACCGCCUACAAUACAUCAUUAACUCUACUAUGAAUCUUCAAAAGGCUCUCACUUACUGCAUAAUGAAAAUCAACACCUCGGUGAUCCACCAGAGGAGAUUGAGCUACAAGUGCUUUCAUCCACGUCAGCUGCAACUUGCAAGGCUCCUUCACAAGGGACGACACUUGAAUUUGAUGACCAUGUGAUCCUUCAAAUAUUUGAUGUAACUUGUAAAAAACAAAAUUGAUCCUUUCAGAUGACAAACAUAAUAAAUGUCAUAAUGCAGUGAGCAGUGAGGCCAUGUUACUUUUUUUCACCGUAACGUUACGUGUUGUUCAAACAAUUAUGAUAAGAAUGAUAAACCAUAUCAUAUUGUUACUUCAGUAUUUGAUAUAAAGUCUAUGUAAUUUUGCUGGUGCUGAAGAAGACUUAACUGACAGUGGUGCAGGUCCUUCUGCUGGAUCUACUAGUCACGGAGCAUCUUCAGUUUGUUCUUAAGUCUGUAUUGCUGAUGAGGCUCCUACCAUCCCCCUCGACGAAGGAAGAGGCCUUGUAGAGUCUAUUUGACACCAAGAACAAACAUGUGCACAGCUACUAUACAUGCCGAUUUGACAACUGUUCCCCCAUCUCACACACUGAAAGCCAAAGAGUGAAACACCUGACAUACAAGUUCAAGCACGACUGGCUUUUUCCUUUGACCUGAACGUAGGGUUUUGGUGGCUAGUGUAUGUGGAGGGUGAAGGGAUGUACUGCCUCCUGUUCAGGAAGCACAAGCACGUAAACCAGCAAAACAAAAGUGACAAGUUUGUCUUGCUGCCUUCCGUCAGGUUUAAGAAGGCUGCGGUGACAGACCCUGGUGGUUGUGACACCCACAAGCGUAGCUGCGAAACAGAAAGCCAACAAAGGAGAGGCAGCAUCAU